GACGAACGCUGGCGGCGUGCUUAACACAUGCAAGUCGAACGGAAAGGCCCUGCUUUUGUGGGGUGCUCGAGUGGCGAACGGGUGAGUAACACGUGAGUAACCUGCCUUUGACUUUGGGAUAACUUCAGGAAACUGGGGCUAAUACCGGAUAGGAGCUCCUGCUGCAUGGUGGGGGUUGGAAAGUUUCGGCGGUUGGGGAUGGACUCGCGGCUUAUCAGCUUGUUGGUGGGGUAGUGGCUUACCAAGGCUUUGACGGGUAGCCGGCCUGAGAGGGGGACCGGCCACAUUGGGACUGAGAUACGGCCCAGACUCCUACGGGAGGCAGCAGUGGGGAAUAUUGCACAAUGGGCGGAAGCCUGAUGCAGCAACGCCGCGUGCGGGAUGACGGCCUUCGGGUUGUAAACCGCUUUCGCCUGUGACGAAGCGUGAGUGACGGUAAUGGGUAAAGAAGCACCGGCUAACUACGUG
rnacentral:rRNA from 1 species